rnacentral:lncRNA from 1 species
UUUUGGAGACCAGCGAUUAGACUGGAGAGGCUGACAGAUAGGAUAAUGGAAAGUGGGUGGUGGGAGAAAAAGUUGGAAAGUUGAUUUGGGGCAAGAUGAAGAAACUUGAAUGCCACGUCAAAAACCUUUAACAUAAUCUCCUAGUAACGGGGCGCUAACAGCGGUCUUCCAGCUGAAGGGCACCGUCCUCGGAUCUGUAUUUGGAAAGACAACUCUGGUCGCAGUGUGAGAUGUGGAGGAGAGGUGAGCAGUCGUGGACUCUAUUCAACCCAUGGAAAUAUCUCCUGAGAAUACAAGUCACUGGUCCACUUCUGACCCUCUAGUGGCUAGGAUGCGCAGAUGGAAGCUGAGAUUCCCAGGGCUAAUCCAAAAGAGAUCUGCUUCAUUUUUCGGUGGAGAAGCUCUAGAACAGUGUUGACCAAUAGAACUUCUGCUCUGACGGACACAUGCUGUAUCUGUGUUGUUCAAUACACAGGCACUAGCCACACGACCUUUGAAAGUAAAAUGAGGUCAUCUGAAUGGGCCCUAAUCCAACGUGACUGGUGUCCCUACAAGAAGAGGACAUUAGGACAUAGGCACACAGAGGGGAAGACCAUAUGGAAACACGUGGAGAAGAUGGCCAUCCACGAGACACGGAGAGAGGCCUCAGAAGAAACCAACCCUGCUGACAUCGUGCUCUUGGACUUCUAGCCUCCAGAGUUGUGAGAAAAUAAAUUUCUGUUGUUUAAACCACCCAAUGUGUGGCAUUUGUUACUGCUG